UACAGAGGUCUCAAGCGUUAUUCGGAUUCAUUGGGCGUAAAGGGUGCGUAGGUGGCGGGGUAAGUCUGGUGUGAAAUCUCGGGGCUCAACCCCGAAACUGCACUGGAUACUGCCUUGCUCGAGUACUGGAGAGGAGAUUGGAAUUUACGGUGUAGCAGUGAAAUGCGUAGAUAUCGUAAGGAAGACCAGUGGCGAAGGCGAGUCUCUGGACAGUUACCGACGCUGAGGCACGAAGGUCAGGGGAGCAAACGGG
rnacentral:rRNA from 1 species